GGGGAAUCCCUAUCAGGUCCUUUCCCUCAGAGUUUGCAGAAUCCAGAGGAAGAGGAGGGAUUCAAGGAGCCAGAGGGGAUGAAGGACUCUAAGAGAACAAGACCAAUCAAGAACAAGAACAAUCAACUAACCAAGGUACCAAGCACCACUUCUCAGGUGCCAUUUUUCAUGCCUUCAGGCUGCUGACUCUCUUUUGCACCUUUCAAGAGGAACAGCUGGGCUAGAGUCACCAGAUGUCUCCUGCUGUCUGAACCGCAGGCUGGAGUUUAUCAAAAUUAUGAUUCAUGAACUGUUCCUAGUAGACGAUAGCAGCAUUGAAAUGCAAAAACAGAUAAUAAUAAGAUGGAGAGGAUCGAAAGAACUAUUCAGCUAAAACCCCACCCACUAACAACAAACAGGCAACGCUUUAGACUAUAUUAUCGGAUUUACUUCCUAAUACCUCGGUGCAACUGAGCCCUGGGAUGAACAAAAAUAACAAUGUUCAAACUAAAUUAUGGCUUCAAAUGCUGUAAAGAGAUCUAUCGUCAGAUCAAACAUCGCUGUGGAUGUUUGGACAGAUCACCAUGAGAAGAGCCAGGGAGAAACUAGCAAGAAGGUGGGCUCACAACUGUCAGCAAAUGCUCGUCACAGUAACCUGUGCGCUUACGAUUUUACCAUUGCCGUCUGAAGCAAAGGCCCACCCUUGAAUUAGUGUGAAACACAGUGGCACUUUUAAAUCAAAAAGUUUGGAAAUGACACUCUACCUGCA